UACAGAGGUCUCAAGCGUUGUUCGGAUUCAUUGGGCGUAAAGGGUGCGUAGGCGGCGCGGUAAGUCGGGUGUGAAAUCUCGGGGCUUAACUCCGAAACUGCAUUCGAUACUACCGUGCUUGAGGACUGGAGAGGAGACUGGAAUUCAUGGUGUAGCAGUGAAAUGCGUAGAGAUCAUGAGGAAGACCAGUGGCGAAGGCGGGUCUCUGGACAGUUCCUGACACUGAGACACGAAGGCCAGGGGAGCAAACGGG
rnacentral:rRNA from 1 species